rnacentral:lncRNA from 1 species
AGCUGGACAAGAAGCAGCCACCUGAAGUCGUUUUAUUUCUAAGCAUAUGAAAGUAUCAAUUCAAGACGAAACAACAGAGAAUUCACUGUCUCAAUCAAAUUGGACUAAGGCAGAAAGCUAAAGAAUUAAAAUGGCACUUCAAAGACAGAUUCUGAUGAGUAUUUGCAACCUGCUUGCGAAUGAGGACGAAGCCAAGAGAUUACUGCCACUGAGAUUGUAAUCCGAGAGGACUCCACAAAGCCUCUACUAAUGCCUGUCGGAUACUAAAAAGGGGUUCCUUCUCAAUCAAAGUAGGGUUUCUGCAUAAGAAUGAUGACGCAACUUUCAUCCGAAGAUCCGUCUGUACGUUCAGUGUUAGAAACACAGGGUGUCCCAGAUCAUUUGGGGAGCAGGAUUCGACGAUCCCUACCACCCGAUGAUCAAUCCACCAAGCCAAUCAACACCAUGGAGAACAAAUCAAAUCCCUAGGCAGGUCUGCAAGACAACAACCUGCAGCUGUCCAAGAACCAAUCGGGUAGACCCGAUUGCAAUUUUCCCCUAACCGAAGCCACGCAGAUGAUAGUCGGGAGGCAGAGGCAUACCCUGAAACCCUAACGCGCACAGCCACGGAAUGAGCUUGAAAUCCCCAUCGUCGUCGUCGAGAUUCAGUCCGCCAUCAUCCGUGCACCGAUCGCGAAAGAAAGGGCAAUAUUGGUGGUCUGACGCCUGCACGAAGCCGGCAAGGCCGGGGAUUUGCAAGGGAGGAGACUCCUCGACGGGUCGGAGGAGAGAGUGAGGGUUUUAGUAGGAGGGGGAGUAAGUGGGAGAAGGGCCGCAGGGAAGGCGGGGAGGUGAGGGUUUGAGAAUCCCGAGAAGAAGAGGAGGAACGAAUGAGGAGAGGAAGGAGAACGGAGUCGUAGACGUCGAUUCUGUCUUCCCACGGCUUGUGGCUCCUCCGACUCUUCUCGGUCCCUCGAGCUCUCGUG